ACCUGACUGCUAUCGGAUUGAUACUAAGCCAUGCGAGUCAUUGUAGCAAUACAAGGCAGACGGCUCAGUAACACGUAGUCAAUCUAACCUAUGGACGGGGAUAACCUCGGGAAACUGAGAAUAAUACCCGAUAGGCCACCAUGCCUGGAAUGGUUUGUGGCCCAAAUGAUUUAUCGCCGUAGGAUGGGACUGCGGUCUAUCAGCUUGUUGGUGAGGUAAUGGCCCACCAAGGCUAUAACAGAUACGGGCUCUGAGAGGAGAGGCCCGGAGAUGGGUACUGAGACACGGACCCAGGCCCUAUGGGGCGCUGCAGGCGAGAAAACUUUGCAAUGUGCGAAAGCACGACAAGGUUAAUCCGAGUGUUUUCUGCUAAAGAAAUCUUUUACCGGUCUUAAAACCACCGGCGAAUAAGGGGUGGGCAAGUUCUGGUGUCAGCCGCCGCGGUAAAACCAGCACCUCAAGUGGUCAGGAGGAUUAUUGGGCCUAAAGCAUCCGUAGCCUGCCGUGUAAGUUUUCGGUUAAAUCUAUGCGCUCAACGCAUAGGCUGCCGGAAAUACUGCACGGCUAGGGAGUGGGAGAGGUAGACGGUACUCAGUAGGAAGGGGUAAAAUCCUUUGAUCUAUUGAUGACCCCCUGUGGCGAAGGCGGUCUACUAGAACACGUCCGACGGUGAGGGAUGAAAGCUGGGGGAGCAAACCGGAUUAGAUACCCGGGUAGUCCCAGCUGUAAACAAUGCAAACUCGGUGAUGCAUUGGCGUAAGAGCCAGUGCAGUGCCGCAGGGAAGCCGUUAAGUUUGCCGCCUGGGAAGUACGUACGCAAGUAUGAAACUUAAAGGAAUUGGCGGGGGAGCACCACAAGGGGUGAAGCCUGCGGUUC
rnacentral:rRNA from 2 species